UGCAUCUGAAGCCUGACGAGGAUGAGAACCUCCGGGGGCAAGAGGUUCGACUCGAGCGCAGCGAGAGAACGUUGCGUCAGCAACGGCCCGCAGGGCGAGCCACGCAGUGGUGAGUCAUCCUCUAUCACCGGCAG
rnacentral:sRNA from 1 species